rnacentral:rRNA from 1 species
UACGAAGGGGGCUAGCGUUGCUCGGAAUCACUGGGCGUAAAGCGCACGUAGGCGGAUUGCUAAGUCAGGGGUGAAAUCCUGGAGCUCAACUCCAGAACUGCCUUUGAUACUGGCGAUCUUGAGUCCGGGAGAGGUGAGUGGAACUGCGAGUGUAGAGGUGAAAUGCGCAGAUAUCAGGAAGAACACCUAUGGCGAAGGCAGCUCUCUGGGACGGUACUGACGCUGAGACGCGAAAGCGUGGGGAGCGAACAGG